rnacentral:rRNA from 1 species
AUAACUCCGGGAAACCGGGGCUAAUACCGGAUGCUUGUUUGAACCGCAUGGUUCAAACAUAAAAGGUGGCUUCGGCUACCACUUACAGAUGGACCCGCGGCGCAUUAGCUAGUUGGUGAGGUAAUGGCUCACCAAGGCGACGAUGCGUAGCCGACCUGAGAGGGUGAUCGGCCACACUGGGACUGAUACACGGCCCAGACUCCUACGGGAGGCAGCAGUAGGGAAUCUUCCGCAAUGGACGAAAGUCUGACGGAGCAACGCCGCGUGAGUGAUGAAGGUUUUCGGAUCGUAAAGCUCUGUUGUUAGGGAAGAACAAGUACCGUUCGAAUAGGGCGGUACCUUGACGGUACCUAACCAGAAAGCCACGGCUAACUACGUGCCAGCAGCCGCGGUAAUACGUAGGUGGCAAGCGUUGUCCGGAAUUAUUGGGCGUAAAGGGCUCGCAGGCGGUUUCUUAAGUCUGAUGUGAAAGCCCCCGGCUCAACCGGGGAGGGUCAUUGGAAACUGGGGAACUUGAGUGCAGAAGAGGAGAGUGGAAUUCCACGUGUAGCGGUGAAAUGCGUAGAGAUGUGGAGGAACACCAGUGGCGAAGGCGACUCUCUGGUCUGUAACUGACGCUGAGGAGCGAAAGCGUGGGGAGCGAACAGGAUUAGAUACCCUGGUAGUCCACGCCGUAAACGAUGAGUGCUAAGUGUUAGGGGGUUUCCGCCCCUUAGUGCUGCAGCUAACGCAUUAAGCACUCCGCCUGGGGAGUACGGUCGCAAGACUGAAACUCAAAGGAAUUGACGGGGGCCCGCACAAGCGGUGGAGCAUGUGGUUUAAUUCGAAGCAACGCGAAGAACCUUACCAGGUCUUGACAUCCUCUGACAAUCCUAGAGAUAGGACGUCCCCUUCGGGGGCAGAGUGACAGGUGGUGCAUGGUUGUCGUCAGCUCGUGUCGUGAGAUGUUGGGUUAAGUCCCG